GCUUCGGUAGCCUAGUGGUUAGGGCGUACGCCUCUGAUGCGGGAAGUCGUGGGCUCGAUCCCCGGCCGAGUCG